GAGUUACAGCGGGUGCGUAUGCGCGCCGGUGAGCAGCCGUUAGAGCGUCGCGCGCCGCAGCCGUUAGGCGCGUACGGCUGAGGUGGAGUUACCGCCGCUGCGGCUGUGAGGAUGGUGGGGGCGGCUCCUCCCGGUACCGGUUUGCCGUCUGGGCAAAAGCGGGAACGUUUUUUGGAACGAGGACUGAAAAAUCAGGCUUCUGAGAGCGUGAGGGGAAUGAACAAGUAACAAAACAGAAACUGCAGCCCUUUCCUCUGAAACAGUGCAGCGGUGGCCCUGGAAUGGAGAUAGGCGGCAGAACGUAGUUGAUCUUCGUGGAGAUUGCAGAGCAAGCCAGGUUUUAGAGUCUUUAAAUGACAUGUUACAGUGACCAAAGGUGAUGAGGGAAUGCUUUAUCAUUCUGUACUGUCUUUGAAAUGGUGUUGCUGCUCUAGUUUAGGAGGCAAGUUAGACAUUAGGAAAGUAGCAGUGUAUUUUCUUGAAGGUGACUUGGAAGCAGAACCAACAAGUUGAGACUGCUCAAUCUGUGUGUUUCAAAACACACUAAGUGAUAGGACUAAAAGAGUGUGGCACAUCGUGGUGAGGCAGUGCUGACAUCAUGAGUAACACAGAAGUGCCUCAUGUCCAGCCUGUGCAGUCAUCAGUGAAAGAAGCGGGCUGCUGCAAAGCCACUGAGUGGAAGGGCGUGGAGAGCACCUGCACAGGAUAAUGUGGGGCAUUGUCCAACUUCCUACCUCUUCAUGCUCAAGCAAAAUUGUAUAAAGCUGGAAGUUUGGUGUCUGGAAGCUGGAAGCCCCACUUUUGGUGCAGUUAAAAUGUAGGAAUAUGAGCAGCUUGGAACUACUUGUGGGCAUCAGAUACAGCUGUGCCUCCUUCACAUUACCCUGGCCUGGGACAUCUUGAUACAAAAUCAGAUUACUGCCUGUGUAUCUGUAUAAUAUUAAAAGGAAAAGAACUGCACCAAACACACACCGAGUGAUGAGGCAACCUGACCAGUACUCUGUUCUUUCGCAAGUUGAGCUAGGAAGCCUGGAGAAGAUUAGAGAGUAAAUUAUGUGCUUGUUUCUAUUUCCUGUUGGGAGUGCCUCUCUGUUGGAUGAAGAACUGAGAAGAUACUCGUGGGAGGAGUCUGCCUUUCUUAGCGAACCAACAUUUUUUUAAGAAAUUAACAAUCAAUUAGAAGUUUCAGAAGGAAGCUGGAUGCUGCUAAAUUCUUUUUUAAAAAGUGAGGGAAAAUAGGAGGAUUAAAAAUAAUUUUAUAUCUUAAUAGAUGCUGUUCUUACUCCUCUUUAAUCUGCCUUGCAUAGUGGUGACACUUUUCUUGCAGGCUUCAUUUCCUGAGGAUGUCAGAUCCUAUUUUGAAAAGGAUUCUUAAACUGUCAUGGACACCUCAGCUAAUGAUUUUUUUCUAGUUUGUGGAAAUCAUUAAAAGCCAAAAUCAGGUGCAAUUAAGCAUUAAUAGAAAUGAAGCACGAAAGUGAGCAGUUUCCACAUCACACAUAAUGAAUCAGACCUGAAUGUGCCUCUAACAUCUCUUCAGUUUACUAUUUUAUUUUAGGCACUACUACUCCAUUCCAGUACCACACAAUCUAUUCCAAUUUAUCUUGACAUUUAGAGUUAUUCAAGCUGCAUUUGGACUUUCAAAACUGAAGGUAGAACACAUGGCUGUGUUAUGUCCUGAGCUGAUGAGGAAGCUGAAGAUUUAUCUUCAGUUACUGAGUGAUUCCUUUUCUAGCCAUUACAUCACUGCAACUGUUUCAUAUGCGCAUGCUGAGAACAAAGCUGGGGAUAUUGGUGGGAAAGAUUUGUUGUACUAAUACACAGAUAGGGAAGUGAUUUGGGGGAGUGAAGGGAGGAGAAGAUUUGUAGCAUUCAGCCCCUUCCCAGCAGUGUUUCUAAUGACAGGUUGCGCCACCUAUUCUGCCCAAAUAUCUGGCAGUACACAGAACAGCAAUGAGGAAAUACUUGCUGGGCAACUGGCAAGAUAACCAAUAACAGUGUUGACAUUAAUUAUGUUUCUGAUUUCAUGCCUCAUUGGUACGAUGUGAUUGAUGUGUGGGAGAAACUAUUUACAGUCAUAUUAGGACUGAAAAGUUGUAGAUUGUGACAUGCAAAAUUGGAUGGCUACCUCUUUUACAUUUAACUAAAUAACACAAAUAGGACCUCUGAACAGUAGAGAAGUAAUUGCAAACUGGAAAUAUUUGUGUUGCACAUAGUGGGUGAAAUGCCACGGGAAUUCUAAGUUUAAAAUGCUGGCUUUAAGAGACUAAUUUUAUGAGCACUAACAGCAUUUUUUGUCAUAGUGUGCAGUAGGAUAACAGUAACCGUAUAUCAUGCUUCAGAGUAUAAGGAUUUUUAAACCAUUAAGCAUUGUUCUGCAUUGGUAUGUGCAGAUGCAACAGUGCAUUGCACAUCUGGCUCUGCUGAGAUCUGCUUGUACAACACUGGCUAUUGGUCAGACACUUGGAUUGAAUGUGAUAGAUUUUAUGACGCAGCACCAAUUUUUCCUUUUAAGAAGUCAACAACAAAAUGGUGCAGAGUCCUAUGCUAUUCCUGAGUACCGGUAGUUAUCAAGAACUAGAAGUAAAACAAUUUCACGAAUGCCAGUAUUGUCUGACUUGUCGCCUUGCAUGCAAAGACAGGCAGUUGGCAAUGCCUUUUCAGUUAACUUUUCAGUUAUCAGGUUCUGUUCUAUGCUCUUUUCUAUACUAUUUAGAAUAAUUAAAAAUACCUUGAUUCAAGUUAAGUUCUUUGCAUUUCCAUUUUAAUAUUAGCAUACUCUUCUUUUUUCUCAAGUGUUUGUUACUGUUUGUAUUGAGAGAUAACAAAAGGAAAUUUUGCUUAGACACUAAUGUGAUCCAUUUUAAAUUACUUUCUAACUAGUUCAUCCUCAGAAAUAAGACUUAAUCAUCUAACUGUAGCCAAUAAAUAAGUCUUUUUUGCAAGUGUUUAUUAUACAUCUCUCAAUUUCUGAUCAACAGAAUAGGUGGCAGUUGUUUUGGAAUUGUACUUCCUGCCUGGAAAAAUGAUUUUGCAGCAUUUCAUUAUUUAAGUCUUGACAGAAAAUAGUGUGUGCUUGAAUCAAAUACUUCUUACUGCUCAUGAAACAGCUUGUGUACAGUUCAGUACUGGACUAAGUAUUUUUCUUAAAUUCAGCAGCUAAAGCAAAUAGGCUGAGAAUAUUUUGUUGUUGUUGUUCCGUGUGUUAAUAUUAUUUUAUGUUAGACCAUACUUUCAGUCCUUCAAACUUGAAAAUAGUUAAGCAUGCUUUCUGCUUAACUUUGGUGCUAUUGCUUUAUUUAUUUCCUUAUUGUUUUGUUGUGAAUUGAAACCUCACCUCUGAAUAUUUUUAAAAACCAUAAUCUAGCUGUGCAUCAGUAUGAAGCAAUCCCCAUUUCCUGUCCGAAAUUAUUGCAUGGUACUGCUGUGCACUGUGAAACAGCUGCAACAUCCGGACUGAAAAUUUUGUAUGAGAGGAGAAAGUGGAGUAAUUAGUCCUGCAUUCUGCCCUUGAGUUCCCUGCACACUCUACAGCUUUACUUGGAAAAAGCAGUCCUCAAACAGGAAGGAUUGCUAUUUUGAGGAAAUUUCCUGGGCUACCCUGACAAGUUCAGAGUGUGCAUUGUGAAAGCUCUUACUAUGAUGAGGCUGUCAAGCUUUUGACAGAUACCAGCUUUCCUGCAGGGAGACAGAUUUGAUGAAAGUGUGGAGUGCCUUCCCUCCCCGCACGUGUGUGGGAAGGGCAUUUAUCAUUGCUUUGUCUGAGACACAAAUGGCACUGUUGACUUUUAGUUUUCUGAGGUGGUUGGCCCCUGUUUCAGAAGGCACAUUGCGUAUCUCAGAACAAAUAAAAAUCUGUGUCAUGGAGUAGGUCACUGACCUUUUCUCUUUCUGUAACUACUUCAUCCACAGUUGUUGAUCUCACUCUGAUUACUUGUGGUUCUCAGGGUACAAAAUAGACAACCUUUCACUCCAGUUGCUGUUAGUUAAUGUUUUCUGGAUUAUUUUGGCAGGAAUGCUUGUGCAGCUGCUUCUGUUUUUUUUUUUUUAAUCACAGAGCAUCACUGGGGACUGAAAUCCUUGUUCUGAUGAUGGAAUAUUUUUAGCCUAUACUGGUGGAACUCCUAAAAUCCCUGUGCUAGUGCCUCUUAUCCUAUAGAAUUUAGAUAAGACAACCAUCAAACUGUUCAUUACAUGGCUGUGCUACCUGCUAACGCUUUACAAUCUCCUAAACAAGAUGGGGUUUUCUGAAGUUUGUCAUGCGGUGUCAUCACCCUUCCCUUUUAUUCUCAUCACAUUGCCACUGCUCUUAAUAUAUUAAUUUUGCAAAAAAUAAUUUCUCCUAGUUAUGCCUCAUUAGCAGAAUAAAAACAAUUCUGGGCUGUCAAUAGGAAUGAAGAUGAAACAGGAACACAUGCAGGAGAUACUUUGCAACUGGAAACACUAAUUCAUUCCUCAGAUAAGAUAAAAGAAGAUGCAGAUGAGGACAGUCAAGCAGUGGAGCAACUUUUCUAGAGAAGUUUUGUAGUCUUGAAUCUUAGAGGUUUUCAGGACCAGCCUGGAUAAAGUUCUGAUUAAUCUGUUCUCAUAGCUGACUUUGCUUGGAGCAGAUUAAACAAGAGACCUUCUGAGGUCUCUUCCAACCCAAAUUAUCCUGUUAUUCAAACCUGUGAAUUCAAGAAAAGCUUAAAGGUAUCUAGUGCAAGGCUGGUAAAUCCUGCCACAAUCUGGCCUGCUUUUUACCUGCAUCCUCCUCCUUUCUUUGAUUGCCCUUCUUUCUAGUCAGACUGCUUCCAUCUCCUUUGUCUGUGAGUUGUCCCAUGUUUGCAUGGAGUGCUGUCUAAAAGAGAAUGACAGAAUGACUGAAGUUGUAAAGGACCUCUGUGUCUGAAUCUUGUCCACCCCUUCUGCUCAAGCAGGGCUACCUAGAGCAGGUUGCCCAGGAGCAUGUCCAGGCAUGUUUUUGAAGGAGAGAGACUCUACAGUGUUUCUGGGCAACCUGUGCCAUUGCUCUGUCACCCUCACAAUACAAGAAGUAUUUUGUAAUGUUCAGAUAGAACCUCCUGUGUCUCAGUCUGUGUUCACAGCCUCCUGUCCUGUCAAUCUGCGCCACUGAAAAGAGUCUGACUCUACUCUUUUUGUGCUCUUCCUUCAGGUAUUCACGGACAUUGCUGAGUUCUCCCUUAGCCUUCUCUUCUCCCCACAGAACAGUCCUAGCUCCUUCAGCCUUUUCUCAUAGGAGAGGUGCUACAGUCCCUUUGUAAGCUUUGUGACCUUUUGUUGGAUUUUCUCCAGUAUGUCUAUGUCUCUCUAGUUCUAAGGAGCCCAGAAGUAGACUCAGCACUCCAGGUGUGGCUUUGCCAGUGCUGAGAGGAUCACCUCCCUUGAGCUGUUGGUAAUACUUGAGCUGCUGUAGCCCAAGGUAUCAUUAACAUUCUUACUGAUGAGAGCAAGUUGCUGGCUCAUGUGUAACUUGGUUUCCACAGGUCUUUUCUGCCUGGUUGCUUUCCAAUGGAGUGGCCCCCGGCAUAUAUUUGUGCAUAGAGUUGUUCCUUCCCAGAUGCAGGACUUGGGCUUCUUGUUGAAUUUCAACUGGUCACCAAAAACCUGUAUCAAAUCAGAAAGCAGAUAAGCACACUGAAAAGACACGUUGUGAAGAGGCAGCUCUGAAGACCUUCAAGGGAGGUGCCCUGAGGAGAAUCCCGUACUGUGGACAGAGCACACGUGUUUUAGGUGCUGUCUUUGGUCUCUGCAUUUUAGAGAAGGUUAACUACAUCACAACAGCGCUUCUGACCAUGUCUGACAUCCAGGGUUGCAUAUUCACUUAAGAAACAUCCUCUGCCUGUUUAUGCUGUGGAAUUUCCCAACCACUUUGUUAUGACUUUGUUGUGAACUCAUCCAUAAAACACUUGGAAGCACGUGCAUAAUAAAUACUUGACUAUUUCUACUGAAUGCAGUAAUGGACAAUUACAUGUUUUUGUAGGACAGAAGACUUUAUUAGGGAGCAGCUUGUAGUUAAAAGACUACUUACUUGAAAUCUACCUUGAAAAGCAACUUAAGCCAGUCUUUGAUGCAGUGAAGCAUGAGUCCCGCCUCAGCUGCAAUUGAAGCAAGAAAAAAAAAUCAAUAAACCAUUUUUAAGAGACAA